UCUCAGAUAAACCAUCGUGACUGAUAGUGUUAUAGAGAGUUAGAGAGAGUAUGUCUUUCUUCUGCUCAAGCUCCCUCAAAAAGUGCUCGGCUUUGAUACCACU